UCUAUCUACUGCACACAACUCUGUGACUCUCUGUUCUCAUCUGAUUUCAGAAGCUAAGCAGGGUCGGGCCUGGCUAGUGUUUGGACAGGA
ensembl:rRNA Gm23957 predicted gene, 23957